UCGAAGAAAAACUUAGCUUUUACAUUGAAUGACUAUUAUAUAAAGAUGUUAUAAAGAGGUCUAACUGUAGUAGAACCUAUGCAACGCGAAUUAGAUUUAAUUGGAUUUGGUUUCAGAUAACAAGUGGCUAAAGAAAAAUACAAUACAAUACGGUACAAUAUUAUACGGUCGAAAAACUACGAGACAAGAGGUACAUGUUGACCCAAGACUUAUUGCAAGUUGCAACAAUAGGAACUACUAACAAAACAAAACACAAACUAAGAGAAAUUAACUAGAGGAAAGUGAAUAGAAUUAUAUUAGGCUAUUCAUAACUUUCCCUUUAUUCUCAAAACUAAACUCACACCAGCACAAGUACAUAGUCUCUGAGGCCUAAUUUUGGUCAUGACAUUUAGGACAUUUACUGCAAAUCUGAUUCUUACAUGAGCAAAUUUUACAAAAUUUGCCGACGAUUAUUUGGGCAUGACAUUUAGGACAUUUGCUGCAAAUCUGAUAUUUACAUGAGCAAAUUUUACAAGCUUUGCCGGCGAUUUUGCGGAUGAUUCCGGCACCCGUCUUCUGAUCAGUAAUGUUGUUUGAAUUC
rnacentral:lncRNA from 1 species